rnacentral:rRNA from 2 species
UUUUUAAAGCGAAUAAGGGCGCAUGGUGGAUGCCUUGGGUCUGAGAGGCGAAGAAGGACGUGGUAAGCUGCGAAAAGCCGGGGGGAGCUGCACACAAGCGAAAUAUCCCCGGGUCUCCGAAUGGGACAACCCACUAUACUGAAGGUAUAGUACUCGAAAGAGAGCCAACCUCCUGAACUGAAACAUCUAAGUAGGGAGAGGAAAAGAAAACAAUAGUGAUUUCCUGAGUAGUGGCGAGCGAAAAGGGAAGNNUUGUAGGACUACAUUUAGGAAUUAUCAAGAAGCUGAAUUAUCUGGAAAGAUAAGCCAUAGCAGGUGAAAGCCCUGUAGGCGUACAAUGAUAAGGACGCGUAGUAUCCUGAGUAGUGCGGGACCGGAGAAAUCCUGCAUGAAUCAGCCAGCACCAUCUGGUAAGGCUAAAUACUCCUCAGAGACCGAUAGUGAACCAGUACCGUAAGGGAAAGGUGAAAAGUACCCCGAAUAGGGGAGUGAAAUAGUACCUGAAACCGUGCGCUUACAAGCGGUCGGAGCUCUCAAGAGUGACGGCGUGCCUUUUGCAUAAUGAGCCUACGAGUUGCUCCUCACUGGCGAGGUUAAGUUCUUCAGGAACGGAGCCGUAGCGAAAGCGAGUCCGAAUAGGGCGAAUAGUCAGUUGGGGCAGACGCGAAACUUUGUGAUCUAUCCAUGAGCAGGUUGAAGUUCCGGUAACACGGAAUGGAGGACCGAACCCGUUAGCGUUGAAAAGCUUUGGGAUGACUUGUGGAUAGGGGUGAAAGGCCAAUCAAACUGAGAGAUAGCUCGUUCUCCCCGAAAUGUUUUUAGGAACAGCCUCAGAUAUAGAAGUUUACCAGAGGUAGAGCUACUGAUUGGGCUAGGGGGCUUCAUCGCCUACCAAACCCUGACAAACUCCGAAUGCUGGUAAAUAUCUCUGGGAGUGAGGCUGCGGGCGCUAAGGUCCGUGGCCGAGAGGGAAAUAACCCAGAUUAGCAACUAAGGCCCCCAAUACGUAGUUAAGUUGAACAAACGAGGUGAGACUUCAAUAACAGCCAGGAUGUUUGCUUGGAAGCAGCCAUUCAUUUAAAGAGUGCGUAACAGCUCACUGGUCGAGAGGUCUUGCACGGAAAAUAAUCGGGCAUCAAACUACGAGCCGAAGUUCUAAAAUUAUACUUUUAGUAUAAUUGGUAGGGGAGCAUUGAAACCAGCGUUGAAGGUGUGGCGUGAGCCAUG